rnacentral:rRNA from 1 species
AUUGAACGCUGGCGGCAGGCUUAACACAUGCAAGUCGAACGAGUGGCGGACGGGUGAGUAAUGCUUGGGCAUCUGGCUUAUGGAGGGGGAUAACGAAGGGAAACUGUCGCUAAUACCGCGUACCAUAGGAUGAGCCCAAGUGGGAUUAGGUAGGUGGUGGGGUAAUGGCCUACCAAGCCGACGAUCUCUAGCUGGUCUGAGAGGAUGAACGGCCACAUUGGGACUGAGACACGGCCCAGACUCCUACGGGAGGCAGAAGUGGGGAAUCUGCCGGAAUGGACGAAAGUCUGACGGAGCAACGCCGCGUGAGUGAUGACGGCCUUCGGGUUGUAAAGCUCUGUUAAUCUGGAGACGGUACCGGAAUAGAAAGCCACGGCUAACUACGUGCCAGCAGCCGCGGUAAUAC